AGCCCGCUCAGAAACUACAAAGGAAGUUGACGGGGGCCCGGCACAAGCGGUGGAGCAUGUGGUUUAAUUCGAUGAUACGCGAGGAACCUUACCUGGGCUCAAAUGUAUAUUGACGUAUUCUGAAAGGGAUACUUCUUCGGACAAUAUACAAGGUGCUGCAUGGUUGUCGUCAGCUCGUGCCGUGAGGUGUCGGGUUAAGUCCCAUAACGAGCGCAACCCCUACUGCUAGUUGCCAGCGGGUCAUGCCGGGGACUCUAGCGGAACUGCCAGCGUAAGCUGCGAGGAAGGUGGGGAUGACGUCAAAUCAGCACGGCCCUUACGUCCAGGGCUACACACGUGUUACAAUGGCCAGUACAGAGGGCAGCCACCCCGCGAGGGGGCGCUAAUCCUAAAAGCUGGUCCCAGUUCGGAUCGGAGUCUGCAACCCGACUCCGUGAAGCUGGAUUCGCUAGUAAUCGCGCAUCAGCCACGGCGCGGUGAAUACGUUCCCGGGCCUU
rnacentral:rRNA from 1 species